rnacentral:rRNA from 1 species
GACGAACGCUGGCGGCGUGCUUAACACAUGCAAGUCGAACGGAAAGGCCCUGCUUUUGUGGGGUGCUCGAGUGGCGAACGGGUGAGUAACACGUGAGUAACCUGCCCUUGACUUUGGGAUAACUUCAGGAAACUGGGGCUAAUACCGGAUAGGAGCUCCUGCUGCAUGGUGGGGGUUGGAAAGUCUCGGCGGUUGGGGAUGGACUCGCGGAUUAUCAGCUUGUUGGUGGGGUAGUGGCUUACCAAGGCUUUGACGGGUAGCCGGCCUGAGAGGGUGACCGGCCACAUUGGGACUGAGAUACGGCCCAGACUCCUACGGGAGGCAGCAGUGGGGAAUAUUGCACAAUGGGCGGAAGCCUGAUGCAGCAACGCCGCGUGCGGGAUGACGGCCUUCGGGUUGUAAACCGCUUUCGCCUGUGACGAAGCGUGAGUAACGGUAAUGGGUAAAGAAGCACCGGCUAACUACGUG